GAGGGUAACUUCCGCGGCCCACGGACGCGCGGGGCUUUUUGCCCCGUGGGUGGGUGAGGUACCGGCCGCCGGCAUGCUCCUCCGCCUGCUCCUGCUGCUUGCGUUGUGCGGUGCGGGCUCCGCUGCCAUGGUGGUCAGCGUCAGCUUGCGGGGAAGCUGGAGGAUCCGCAGCGGGAACGGCUCGCUGGAGUUGCCCGCGGAGGUUCCCGGUUGCGUGCACAGCGCCUUGUUCCACCAGAGGCUCAUCCAGGAUCCUUACUACAGAUUUAAUAACCUUAACUACAGAUGGAUCGCCUUGGAUAACUGGACCUAUAUGAAGAAAUUUAAAAUCCCUUUUGACGUGAGCAAACGGCGUAAAGUAAAUUUGGUUUUUGAAGGCGUCGAUACGGUUACAGUAGUCCUGCUCAAUAAUGUUCCUGUUGGCGAAACAGACAACACGUUCAGAAGCUAUAGCUUUGAUAUUACACAUGUGGUCCAAGCAGUAAACGUCAUUGAGGUGCAUUUCCAGUCACCAGUGAUAUAUGCGGACCAGAGGAGUAAAGUUCACACUCACUACAGCGUGCCCCCCAACUGCCCUCCGCGUGUGCAGGAUGGCGAAUGCCAUGUCAACUUUAUUCGCAAGGCACAGUGUUCCUUUAGUUGGGACUGGGGGCCUUCCUUUCCUACCCAGGGCAUCUGGAAAGAUGUUAGAAUUGAAGCCUAUAAUAUUUGUCAUCUGAACUACUUCACAUUUACCCCCGUAUAUGAUAACAAUAUCCAGGAGUGGAAUCUUGAAAUAGAGUCUUCUUUUGAUGUAAUUAGUUCAAAGCCAGUUUUGGGUCAAGCGAUUAUAGCCAUCCCUGAAUUAAAAAUACAACAGACAAACAGCGUUGAACUUCAUCAUGGGGAAAGGAUUGUUAAACUCUUUGUGAAAAUUGACAAGAGUGUUACUAUAGAAACUUGGUGGCCUCAUGGACAUGGAAACCAGACUGGGUACAACAUGACAGUUCUUUUUAAGCUGGAUGGAGGCUUAAGUUUUGAAAAAUCAGCUAAGGUUUACUUUAGGACAGUGGAACUUAUAGAAGAGCCGAUAAAAGGGUCUCAUGGUCUGAGUUUCUACUUCAAAAUUAAUGGACUUCCCAUAUUUCUGAAAGGCUCGAAUUGGAUCCCCGCAGAUUCAUUCCAGGAUCGAGUAACCUCUGCCUUAUUACGCCUCCUUUUGCAGUCUGUUGUGGACGCUAACAUGAAUGUUCUCCGGGUCUGGGGAGGAGGAAUUUAUGAGCAGGAUGCAUUCUAUGAACUCUGUGAUGAACUAGGAAUAAUGGUAUGGCAGGAUUUUAUGUUUGCCUGUGCGCUUUACCCAACUGAUCAGGAUUUCAUGGAUUCAGUGAGAGCAGAAGUUGCUUACCAGGUCAGGAGACUGAAAUCUCAUCCCUCCAUCAUCACAUGGAGUGGAAAUAAUGAAAAUGAAGCAGCGCUGGUGUUGAAUUGGUAUGAUAUACAGUCCAGCCACCUGUCUACCUACAUCGAUGAUUACGUGACACUGUAUGUGAAAAACAUCCGAAGGAUCGUCUUCGAAGGAGACCAGACUCGUCCUUUUAUCACAUCCAGUCCUACAAAUGGGGCUAAAUCCACUGCAGAAGGCUGGCUCUCUGAAAACCCAUAUGACCCGAAUUAUGGUGACGUACAUUUUUAUGACUAUGUUGGUGAUUGCUGGAAUUGGAAAAUUUUCCCCAAAGCUCGAUUUGUAUCUGAAUAUGGAUAUCAGUCCUGGCCUUCCUUCAGUACAUUAGAAAAGGUUUCAUCUAAAGAGGACUGGUCUUACGAAAGCAAAUUUGCACAUCAUAGACAACAUUUCACAGAUGGUAACUAUAAAAUGCUUCACCAGGCUGAGCUUCACUUCAAACUCCCCCAAAGUGCAGAUCAAUUACGCAAGUUCAAAGACACUAUUUAUCUUACUCAGGUGAUGCAGGCCCAGUGUGUCAAAACAGAAACUGAAUUCUACCGUCGCAGUCGCAGCGAGAUAGUGUAUGGAGAAGGGCACACCAUGGGGGCACUUUAUUGGCAGUUGAAUGACAUCUGGCAGGCUCCUUCCUGGUCUUCUCUAGAGUAUGGAGGAAAGUGGAAAAUGCUUCAUUAUUUUGCUCGGCAUUUCUUCGCUCCGCUGUUGCCAGUGGGUUUUGAGAAUGAAGGUGUGUUUUUCAUCUAUGGUGUGUCAGACCUUCACUCAGACCACAAGAUGAUGCUUACCGUGAGAGUCCACACAUGGAGUUCCCUGGAGCCCGUGUGCUCUGAGACGACGAAGCCUUUUGUGAUGAAAGCAGGGGGGUCUGCUCUUCUCUAUGAUAAGCCAGUAGCUGAGUUAUUAAGAGGAUGUACAAAUUGUACACGACAGAGCUGUGUGGUUUCCUUUUACCUGUCAAGUGACAGGGAGCCCUUGAGCCCAACCAACUAUCACUUCCUGUCCUCACCAAAGGAGGCCAAGGGGCUCCACAAGGCAAAUAUCACCGCCGCCAUCUCUCAGCAAGGGGACACAUUUGUUUUUCAUCUGAAAACCUCAGCUGUUGCUCCCUUUGUUUGGUUGGAUGUAGGAAGCAUCCCAGGGAGAUUCAGUGACAAUGGUUUUCUCAUGACUGAGAAGACACGGACUGUAUUCUUUUACCCUUGGAAACCCACCAACGAGAGUGAAUUGGAGCGAUCUUUUCAUGUGACUUCACUGGCCGAUAUUUACUGAGGGAAUCCAGGUUGUAUUUGCAGAAGCUGAAGGCAACCAGAACCAAGUUGAAGAAGCCAGGAAAUGCGUCUGCUUGCUGUCAGGUGUCUGCAUAACCACUUGGUGAAGAGUUUGUACAGUGCAUUCUCCCAGGGAAGGUUGUGUACUCAGGUGAUGUCCUCCUCCAACAAAGCUGUGCCUAGGUGCCGUCCAGUCUGCACCAGGACUGUGGUUUUAGCCCAUUCCCCCACAGCUUUUGCACCACAUGAACCAGUUAUAACCCAACUGCCUCUCCAAGCCCCAGAAGGAGGUCUGUCCACAUGCAGCCCUUUAAGGGAAUCACAGUGGUUAUGCAGACAUUAAUAGAAUGGGAAGACCAGCAUCCGGUCCUUCUGCUCUGUGGCUGCAAAGCACAUUCCAGAGAGUGAGAUGGAAAGAGGUCAGCUCACAGGAUUGCAUCUUCCCAGUUUAGAAUCAAGAAAACAGCAAAAAUGACAGAGGUUACUGAAUCCUGCCAUGAAAAGAAAGUAUGCAACAAUGAUGCAGCUGAACUCCUUAGGUCAGGUCUCAGCCUUUGCACGGGAUUUAUUGAGCACCAGCUUGUGCCGCGUUGUGCUAUGUAUGCAGUGUGGAAAUGAUUUUGCCCUUGGUGAUGGCCAUUUACCAUGAUUGCAGGUGACUCAGAGUGAGUGGAUGUUUGCACACAAGUUGGAACUCGAAGGAACUUCAGGUUCAAUCUCCAUCCUUUAGAAUUUUUGAACAAGUAAUAUGGGAUAGUGAGUGACCACUCACUGUAGUGCCUGGCAGGUGACAGAUGCUCAAGAAAUCUAGACUGAAUACAUAUCUUCGUUCCUUGAGGGUUUUUGUGAUAUCUUAAUGAAAUAAUCAUUUUGGAGAGAGAUAUCAACAUGGAAAAGCUAACUGUUGGAGGACUUCAGGUAUGGCUAAAGAACAACCUGUGGAAUCAGACACACCUGGAUUUGAAUGUGGGGAAGGGCCCUCCCACCCCAGCAAGGUGACACCAGUGCUGAAACUGAACGGCAAGAAGGAGCCUGCCAGGAGUCUACCUUCAGCUGAAAAAUCAUAUGUUAACAAAUCAAAUCAAGGCUAUGGUUUUACUGAAGAAGUUUAAAUAAACUGCCCAAUAGAAACCAGUUAACAAAGGUGCUGUCAUUCUAUACUGACAUGGAAAAAAAUGUGCUAAAUUAACAACCACUGUUCCGUGGACUGGCUCCAGGAGACCAAUCGCUAGAACUCUGCCCCCCCUUUAGAGGAUUCUCAGUCAUACUAGGACCAAAGAACUACCGCUCACCAAGAGGCCUCGGAGGGACAAACAAGCUGAGCUGCUGACACCUAAUAGGUGUGUAAACAGUCCAUUGGAUUACCCUGCCCACGAAGCAGUACCUCAGUGAAUGCAAAUGAGAUGUUUUGAAAACUGCGUGUUCUCAAAAUCAGUAAGACAAACACAAUCAUGGAAGUAUCUUUCAAAGAACUGAGGCCACUGACACAGAACAGCAAUGUAUUUUUAUACAAAUCAGUCUAUUUCACAGAAGCCUGUGAAAUCCAGCCUGUUUAGUGACAAUUUGCCUCAACUUUCCUUCUCAGUAAGCAGUUAGUGGCUGUAGCAGUGACAACAGGUGGGCCAACAACAUCCUGGCCGGGGCACGGCACGUGUAAACAGGAUGAAAGAUGCUUGUGCUGACUAAGUCUCAUUACAGUGAUUUUUUUUUUUUUAAUUAAUUAAUUAAUUUUUGGCUGUGUUGGGCUUUGUUGCCGCGUGCAGGCUUUCUUUAGUUGCGGCGAGUGGGGUCUACUCUUCGUUGCGGUGCGCAGGCUUCUCAUUGCAGUGGCUUCUCUUGUUGCGGAGCACGGGCUCUAGGUGCACAGGCUCAGUAGUUGUGGCCCACGGGCUUAGUUGCUCCGCGGCAUGUCGGAUCUUCCCAGACCAGGGCUCGAACCCGUGUCCCCUGCAUUGGCAGGUGGAUUCUUAACCACUGCGCCACCAGGGAAGCCGCUACAGUGAUUUAUUUAAUAUAACAGAAACAGAUUUUGUUCCUAAAUUUCCACUCUCACCCUUAUUUUUUUCAUCCCUUAGAACUAUAUCCUGGCUUGAAAUGAAUCAUGUCCUCAGAACUUUAGACAUUAUAGCCAAGAGCCUUCCUCUCAAAAAAUAAAUAAGUAAAUAAAUGCUGUGUUUAUUAAUCAGAUAUGUUAUUUGGGGAGAUGGGAAAAGGAAAGAGAAUGAUAUUGGAAAAAAGAGCUGAACUCACAUUAUACCAGAGAUUUAAAAUUAUCUGUAGUUUCAAUAUAAGUUUCAUAUCAUACAAAAUCUCUUACCAUGAGUAAAAAAAAUUUUUUUUAAGUUUUUUUUUCUAUGAUCCCAUGAAGGUUUUCUAUGACGUUUUAGGCUUUAGAUCUUAAACCCUGGGAUUAUAUCUUAAACAAUUACACAGUGUAGGAAUCCAGGAACUUUUCAUGCCAUGCCUGCUGGCAUAUGGACUUAUGCAGACAUUCUGCAGAGCCAAGUACACAAAUGCCCCAGCAACCCCACUCCUGUGUGUGUAUCUGAGUGACACAAAUCCACAAGGGCACGUGGGUGAGACUCUUCACUGAAGUAUUGUCUGUGGAGGUAGGAAGAGAGAAGCUGGUUCAGUGUCCACUGUUGGGGAACAGGUACAUAACAGGUGGAAGAUGUAAACUAUGGGAUCCUCUUCAGGAGCAGAAACAAGGAACCAGCUGUACACACAGGUGCGUGGAUAAAUCCCAUAAGCAGUGAAGGCAGAAAUAUAGUGACAUGUAGCACAAAGCCACUUAUGCAAUUAAAAAAUACGUGCAUGAAGAACUAUAUGGACACACACAAAUGAGUGCAUGUAAAACUGAUGAAACCCAAAUAGGAUCUGUGGAUUGUAUCAAUGUCAAUUUCCUGGCUUUGAUACUGGACUAGAGUUAUGCAAGAAGUUACCACUGGGGAAACUGGGUGAAGGGUACAUGGGACUCCUGGUCCACUUUUUUUUUUUUGUAACCACCUAUGAAUCUAUAAUUGUAUUUAAAAUUUAAGAAAAAGGUUUAUGCAAAUCAGGAGCAGUAUGUAUAAUAUGUGGACUGUGUGUAAGAAUAUACUAAAAUAUGUCUAUUUAAAGUAUAUAUUUUUAUGUAACCAAUACCUGGGAAAAUACUUAUAAACACAAUAGUUAUAUUUGGGAGUGGGGCUGGGAGACUUGUAUGCUGCCAGGGAGGGUAACCCUGAUUCUCUAAUGUAUCUC